GCCCUUGCGGAUCCGCGGCCGCUGCAGAGUUUGAUCCUGGCUCAGAAUCAACGCUGGCGGCGCGCUUAACACAUGCAAGUCGCACGAGAAAGGGGAGCAAUCCCUGAGUAAAGUGGCGCACGGGUGAGUAACACGUGGGUUAUCCGCCCUCUGGUGGGGAAUAACCCUGGGAAACCGGGGCUAAUACCGCAUAAGUCCGAGAGGAGAAAGCCGAAAGGCGCCAGAGGAGGAGCCCGCGGCCGAUUAGCUAGUUGGUGAGGUAAUGGCUCACCAAGGCGACGAUCGGUAGCCGGCCUGAGAGGGCACACGGCCACACUGGCACUGAAACACGGGCCAGACUCCUACGGGAGGCAGCAGUGGGGAAUCUUGCACAAUGGGGGAAACCCUGAUGCAGCGACGCCGUGUGAGCGAUGAAGCCCCUCGGGGUGUAAAGCUCUUUCGGCAGGGACGAUGAUGACGGUACCUGCAGAAGAAGCUGCGGCUAACUACGUGCCAACAGCCCCGGUAAUACGUAGGCAGCAAGCGUUGUUCGGAAUUACUUGGCGUAAAGCGUGCGUAAGCGGUUUGCUAAAUUUUGUGUGAAAUCUCCCCGCUCAACUGUGAGAGGUGCCCCCAAAACUUGCCCCCUAAAGUUCCGGAGAAG
rnacentral:rRNA from 1 species